CGAGAGGCACGAGUCCUCUAGUUGCCGUAUCCAGAGGCCUGCCAGUUCCUGCCUUAAUGCAUAUGUAGUCGUAAUUGAGUUCUGACACAGCCUUGGAUGUUUCUGUCCUAAAUAGCUGACAUUGCAUCUUCAAGACUGUCAUUCCAGUUGGCUUUUGAGCGGAUACUUGUUGCAGUGAGAGCAUCGACACUGGAAACACUAGUGCCAAUUUUAAUUACUUAAAACACCACGAUGAAAAGAAAUACCUGUGAUUUGCUUUCUCGGAGCAAAAGUGCCUCUGAGGAAACAUUACAUUCCAGUAAUGAAGAGGAAGACCCUUUCCGUGGAAUGGAACCCUAUCUUGUCCGGAGACUUUCAUGCCGAAAUAUUCAGCUUCCCCCUCUUGCCUUCAGACAGUUGGAACAAGCUGACUUGAAAAGUGAAUCAGAGAACAUUCAAAGACCAACCAGCCUCCCCCUGAAGAUUCUGCCGCUGAUUGCUAUCACUUCUGCAGACUCCAGUGGAUAAGAAAACAGAAGCCUGGAGAAGUUUAACAGUUUCAUCAGUAUCAGAAAGAACCAAGAUCAAAUGUCUACAUUGAGGUAUUUGAUCUUAACCUAGAUAUGCCAGGAUAUCAAAUCUAGGUUUCACUAUUAUUUUGUAUUCUAUACAAAUUUCGACAACUGCUACUGAUGGAGGAGGGAUGCUGUAUGGUUCUAGUUUUUUUUUAAUUUUAACUUUUAUUUUAGAUAUAGGGGUAUUUGUACAGAUUUGUUACAUAGAUACAUUGCAUGAUGCUUAGGUUUGGCAUAUCCCAUUACCCUGGUAGUAAGCAUAGUACAAGAAAGGUAAUUUUUUAACCCACCCCACCCUCUCUCUACCCUCUAGUACUUCACAGUGUCUAUUGUCCUCAUAUUUGUACAUAUGUCCUCGUGUGCUCAUUGCUUAAUUCUCACUUAUAAGUGAGAAUGUGCGAUAUUUGGUUGUCUGUUCCUGUCUUAAUUUGCUUAAGAAUAUGGCUUCCAGCUCCAUCCAUGUUGCUGCUAAAAACAUGAUUUUAGUCUUUUUCUUGAGGUUGCAUAGUAUUCUAUAGUAUAGAGAUACCACAUUUUCUUUAUCCAGUUUACUAUUGAUGGGCACCUGUGUUGAUUCCACAUCUUUGCUAUUGUGAAUAGUACAGUGAUAAACAUAUGAGUGCAUAUGUACUUUUAGUAGAAUUAUUAAUUUUUGUAGGAAUAUAUACCUGGUAAUGGGAUUGCUGAGUCAAAAGGUAACUCUGUUUUAAGUUCUUUAGGAAAGCUCCAGACUGCUUUCCACAAUGACUGGGCUAAUUUACAUUCCCAGUCAUUGUGGUGUGUAAGCAUUCCCUUUUCUCCACAGCCUCACCAAUAUCUGUCAUUUUGUUGACUUUUUUAUAAUAGCUAUUCUGACUGGUGUGAAAUGUUAUCUUACUGUGGUUUUGAUUUGCAUUUCUCUGAUGAUUAGUGACAUAAGCAUUUUUUUAUAUGUGUUUUGACCACUUGCAUGUCUUCUGUUCAGGUCAUUUGCCUCCCUUUUAAUGGGGUUGUUUUUUGCUUCUUAAUUGUUUAGGUUCCCUAUAGAUAGUAAAAAUUAGGCCUUUGUCAUAUGCAUAGUUUGCAAAUAUUUUCUUCAAUUUUGUAGUUUUCUGUUUACUCUGAUGACAGUUUCUUUGCUGUGCAGAUGCUAUCUAGUUGGCCAUCUUGCCAUUUAAUCUUUACUUUUCUUUCUAGAAUACUUGAACAUUUUGCGAUUUCUGACUGAAGUUAUUUCCCUCUUUCUAAAGAAUGCCCUUCUGACAUCAAUAAUUUUCUGAGAGUGACACAAGCUGACCGUGAUUAUAUAGUAACCUUAUGUGGUAUGAAAGGAUAAUGAAGGUGACUGUGGUUCCUUGGGCAUUGGAGAUUCUGAGAAAACUCCAGGUCAACUCUCCAUAAAGGUUCCCCAUACCUGUAGUUUAAUUUACCAAUUAGGAAAUUAUAUAUCUGGGGCUAAAUGAUCUCUGAUUCGUUGGCCUGAAAGAGUUAAUGUACUUUAACAACUAUAAAAGAUCUCUGCUAGGAAUGUGUUAAAUACAGUGAAAAUCUGCUUCAACAAUGGACAGCAAGUUAGAUUUCAUUGUUAUAAAUUAGUACCAUUAACUAAAACCCUUGUCCAUUCAAAAUAAUAUAUAUUGUAACAUAACACUAAGCUCUGUUAUUAAACUGCCACAGAUUAUUUCUUUAACAGUUUGAAAAUGAUUUUUAGAAAAUUGGCUUUGUACAAUGCUAUAUUAGAGUCUAUUAAUUGAUGAUAAAACCAAAAUCAGAUGACAUUUGCAAAAAAUAAAAUUGGCAUCAGUUGAAGCAUCUGUAUCAUUUCUCUUAUUUAAAGGACAUUUCUUUGUCUUGAAAAAUGACUGACUACUUCGAUUAGUCUCAUAUCACAACCAAAAAAUAAAGUUGUCUAUGGGUGGCUUCUCAUUUGCAUUUAAACUAUUCUGUUGCAGCAUUUGUAAGCACAGCAAACAAAAGAUUGCUUUGAAUGACAUAGGCCUGUACACCUAAGAGAGAUAUAUGUCAUCUAUAAAAUGUAAAAAAUAUGGGUUUUUGUAAAUGCCUCUGAAAACGAUUGUAAGGAUCUAUAUUUUUCCCUCCCUCCUAGAGUUUAUUUUUCUAAUAAUGCCCCAGAAGAAGAAAAGUUCUAAUAUAUUUUCCUUGGAGGGGUCAUGAGACAAUGAAGCGUAUUAGGAUUUGAAGUAUAUUGGAGAUAAAAAUCAUGUGAUAUCCUCAAGUAGAGAGACACUGUUUUACUGUUCUUUAUCUUUACUGUUGGGUCUAAUUGCCUUUGUAAAUUAAGUUUAUGUUGUAAACUAGUAGUGAACCAGAGAUUGAGAGGUGGGGGUAAUGGAUGAGAUCCUCACAUGUGAGGGCUCCAGGAUCCUGUGAGGCAAUGGAAAGUGUUGACCUAACUACCUGGAUGGGAAAAAUGCUGUUGCCAUUUUCAUGUUCUUCUGUUUAGAAGAUGAGUUAACAUCCAUAAAAAAAACUUAGACUAAGGGUUGUCACACUGCAGCCUGUGAGCAAAAUGCUGCCUGCCAUCUGUUUUACAAAUGAAGUUUUCUUGGAGCUUGAAUUACUACUGCGGAGUAGAAUAGUGGAGAUGGAGGCCAUUUGGCCUGCAGAGUCCACAGUGUUUACUAUCUGGUGCUUUCCAGAAAAACUUUGCCAAGUCUUGAUUUAGACUUAGGUAACUUUAGGAGGAAGUUACUGACUGUACAACUUAUCAGGAUAUUUAAGCUUGUAAAGUAUUAAAAGACCAUAACUAUCUGCUUUCUGUGGCAGGGAGGGGGCCUAGGAGAGAUGACGUGGUUGCAAUGCUCACGCAUUCAUUCCUUCAUUCACCACAGUGAUUGUGUGCCCACUCUGAAACAGGGAUAAUACCAGGUAAUCAAGAUACAGCAGUGAGCAGAAAGAGGCAUAGUGCCUGCUUUUAUGGAGAUAGGCACUGGAGUCAAAUAGUGUACAGUGUUGACAAAUGUCCCUGCUCUCACGGAUCGAGAGAUUAGAGUUAUAGAGGAACCAUGGAAGAUCUCACUGAAAAUGUAACUUUGAAUAAAGAAUUAGAGGACUUGAGGAAGGUAACCAUGAUGCUAGAGUUUCUCUGCAGAGUAAAGGGGAGUGAUAGGAUAUAGCUGAAGACAGUGUGAGCCAAUAUAAUUUUUUUAAAUUGAGGAAUUGACAGUAUGGUUGUAUGCUGUGGUGGACAAUUUAGUGGAGAGGGAAAAGUUGAUGUUACAGAUAAUUGCUGGGAUAAUGUCUUUGAGCAGAUGAAAGGGGCUUGAUCCAUUGUACAACAGAAGGAUCUAGUCUUGGCACUGGAGCAAGGACAGUUUAUCCAUAGUAAUAAAAGAGAACAUAGAGUAUAUAUGGGCACAGAGGCGGGUCAUCACGUAUUUGUGAUGGUUGAAAACUGUAGAAGUUAUUUUUUUAAACUUUAAUUUAUCUUAGUAUGUGCAAAGGCCUUGAGGCAAAAUAGAGCAUGGUGUGAUCAAAGAACUGAAAGAAGAAAAAUAUAAUCAGAGUGUAAAUUAAGCAAUACCAUGGAGCCAUCAGACGAGGCUGGGGAGGUACACAGGACACAGAGGUCAGCAAGUCUAAGAAUAUGGCAAAAAUGGUAAACCAAUUAAGAAUGGGGUUAAAUCAAAUUUGCCUUUUUAAAAAGACGACUGUGGCUGCUGAUAGAGCUUGGAUAGGAAAGUGGGCCAAGAGUCUCCAUGGAGAGACCAAUCAGGAAGCUAUACCAGUAAUUCAGGUGGGAAAUGAUGGCAUCGUGGUGUAGACAAUAGGGAGUGGGUAGAAGAGAAAUGAUCAGAUUUUGAGAGAUAUUUAGAGACAGAAUAGACAGACUAACCUCACUUAUAUUUGGAUAUAGAUGAUAUUGCCCCAGGUAAAGAGUGAAUAGAGAAGAGAGCUUAGGAGUCAAUGUGGACACUCAUGAGAAAGGAUUGAAAGCCUGAUUUAGAACACUGAGUGAAGAAGCUGGGCAUUGCUGAAGAAGACAGCCAAAAUUCACAACUGCCUAGCAGUGAAGAAACAGAUCAACAAAAAUCACAUGAUGUGGAAGGGACACUUGCCAUUAGAUCAGUCCAGGUGAGACCAAAUACUGGUGGCUUCUGAUUUAUUUUAAUCCUGUAAUUAUAUUGGUUAAUUUUAUUGUUGUUCUCAUAAUGAGACCAAAAUAAAGGUCAAAAUCUUAAGAAGAGAAUGGGUUGUAACGUAGCAGGCAGAUUGUUGAUUGACAGUCAAUGGACACUUCCAAUUGUCAUGUUCUAGGCCCAUCACAUUGGCCUUUCCUCUAUUGAAGCUUCCAUCAUGGAACCAAGAGCAUUUUAGUUCGACAUCUUUGCUAGAUAUAGGUAUAACACAGACUCUAUGAGUAGCCUGCAAUGUGUUUCUAUUCCACAUAUUGCUAGAUAACUCUGCUUAUAAAAAUCAUGAAAAUCUGCUUCUAAAAUCACAUAACUUGGAGACUCUGUCAAAUGAAUUACUAUUAGAUGAAGUUAAGAAAUGACUCUAUAAGUAAAGAAUAAAAGUUAGUCUUAGGAGUUCCAUCCCAUUCAUCAGUCUAGGAGGUUUGGGAUCUCAGAGGCAUUUUUGAGCUGAAAACUCAAGACAAGGAACAAGCCAUCCCACUCUGAAUAGGGCUGUGUUUCCUACCUGAACAGUAAGAAGAGGGUGUUAUAUUUUCUUUUUUUGUUUGCUUAGUCUUUCUGUGGUCUUAAUUUAUAAGCAUGAGCAAAAUGAUAACCAGCUUUAUAAUCUAGAAAGGGGUUUUUUAGUUCUAUAAUUUUUCAUAUAUAUAUGUAUGUAUAUAUAUAUGUGUAUGUGUAUGUGUGUGUGUAUAUAUAUAUAUGUAUGUAUAUUUUAUUGCACUUUAGG